UGUUGGCCAACUUUCUCACUGUCUCUCCUCUCCUUUACUCUCCUUGUGCCGUCUUCCUUCGUAGGACAUGGGCAGGCGUGCUAGGUGUGCAUCCCUACAUGCCAGGUUUUGGGAGUCGCGGACAAAAAUCAUGCUGGGCAGUGGGUGCGAGAGUGGAGUGGUGACUGUGGGUGUUAACUCGGUCUCUGUUCAUUGAAUGGGGUCGAUGUAGAUGGGACUAGAGAGGGAGGCAGGGAUGAGGGCAAGAUUUCCAGCACCAAUAGAGCUCUGUGUAGUGAUAGUUCUUGUUUGGCUUUAUUAGUUUGCAGAGGAAUCGUCCAGGAACCCUAGCCGGACAAGAAUAUGGCAGAAGUGGACCUGAGCAGCCUGGACAUCCUUCUAAGGAGACAUGAAUAGUCCUCAUGUUUCUGCCUUCUGCAUCGCUGGCUGUGAGUAAGUGUACCAAGGAAAAAGAAGUCACGCGUCAGAGUCUACUGCCCUCAUGCGAUGUAAAGUGAGGGAGAGCAGCAAGCCUGUAACUACUGUUGAUGCCAGGCAAGGGCCAUCUAUCUGGGAUCCGAGCAGACUCCUCUCUCCAUGUGAUAAGUGUCUGGUUUGGUGAUUGCUGUGCUCACGGUCCACCUUGGUCCUGCUAGGGAUGCCCUGUUAGCUGGGGCUGGGCUUGUAAGAAAUGGUUACUGACCAGCUGCGCUUAUGAGAGAGACAAGAUCCCCAUUUCUGGGGGCUGCUCAUUUCUCUGGCCAGGAGCGGUGUGUCCUCCGCCGCAGAAGGUUGCAUCUAGGAGAAUGACUCCAGGUGGUGAGUUGCUUGCCUUCCUCCCAUCUUUCUCUUCUCUUGGCCCACACACAGCCUCUGUCUGUCUGUCUGUCCUUCCCUUUCCUUCUGCUGUCUCCCUUCGUAAGACAGUGGUAGACGUGCUAGGUAUGUAUCCCUACAAGCCAGGUCUCGGGCGCCAUGGAGAAGUAAGAGUGGACGAAAAGCAUGUGGGGCAGUGGGCACUAAAGUGGAGCUGUGACUGUCUGUGUUUACUCAGUCUCUGUUCAUCGAAUGGGGCUGAUGUAGAUGGGACUGGAGAGGGAGGCAGGGCUGAGGGAAAGAUUUUCAGCACCAAUAGAGCUCUGUGUAGUGAUAGUUCUUGCUUGGCUUUAUUAGUUUGCAGAGGAAUCGUCCCGGAGCCCUAGCUGGACAAGAAUAUGGCAGAAGUGGACCUGAGCAGCCUGGACAUGCUUCUAAGGAGACGUGAAUAGUUGUCAUGUUUCUGCCUUCUGUAUCACUGGCUGUGAGUAAGAGUAUCAAGGAAAACGAAGUCACGCGUCAGAGUCUACUGCCCUCAUGCGAUGGAAAGCGAGCCAGAGCGUCGAGACUCUGAGCAUUGCUGAUGCCAUGCAAAAGCCGUCCAUCUGGAAGCUGAGGAGACGCCGCUGUGAGUGAGAUAAGUGUCUGGUUUGGUGAGGGCUCUGCUCACGCUCAACCUGAGUCCAGGUAGGGAAGCCCAGUACGGUAGGGCUGGGUUUGUAUGAAAAGGUUUCUGAUUAGCUGUGGUCGCGAGGGAGAAAAGGUCCCUAUUUUCAAAGGUUGCUCAUUUCUCUGGUCAGGAACAGUGUCUCCUCCGCAGCAGAAGGUUGGAUCCAGGAGGAUGACUCAGGUGGUGAGUUGCUUGCUUUCCUCCCAUAUUUUUUUUCCUCUCUCUCUCUUCUCUAGUGUGUUGGCCAACUUUCUCACUGUGCCCCGCUCAAUGAACAUAGACUGAGAUAACACCGACCG